GAUCAUGGCUCAGGAUGAACGCUGGCGACGUGCCUAAUACAUGCAAGUCGAACGCGCAGCGAGAGAUGCUUGCACCUUUCAAGCGAGUGGCGAACGGGUGAGUAACACGUGGAUAACCUGCCUCAAGGCUGGGGGAUAACAUUUGGAAACAGAUGCUAAUACCGAAUAAAACUUAGUAUCGCAUGAUAUCAAGUUAAAAAGGCGCUACGGCGUCACCAGAGAUGGAUCCG
rnacentral:rRNA from 1 species